AUUGAACGCUGGCGGCAUGCCUUACACAUGCAAGUCGAACGGCAGCACGGGUGCUUGCACCUGGUGGCGAGUGGCGAACGGGUGAGUAAUACAUCGGCACAUGUCCUUUAGUGGGGGAUAGCCCGGCGAAAGCCGGAUUAAUACCGCAUACGAUCUACGGAUGAAAGCGGGGGACCUUCGGGCCUCGCGCUAUCGGGUUGGCCGAUGGCUGAUUAGCUAGAUGGUGGGGUAAAGGCCUACCAAGGCGACGAUCAGUAGCUGGUCUUAGAGGAAGAGCAGCCACACUGGAACUGAGACACGGCCCAGACUCCUACGGGAGGCAGCAGUGGGGAAUUUUGGACAAUGGGCGAAAGCCUGAUCCAGCAAUGCCGCGUGUGUGAAGAAGGCCUUCGGGUUGUAAAGCACUUUUGUCCGGAAAGAAAUCCUUGGCCCUAAUACGGUCGGGGGAUGACGGUACCGGAAGAAUAAGCACCGGCUAACUACGUG
rnacentral:rRNA from 1 species